rnacentral:rRNA from 1 species
GAUGAACGCUGGCGGCGUGCUUAACACAUGCAAGUCGAACGAAGCAAUUUUCUACGAUCCCUUCGGGGUGACGGAUUAUUGACUGAGUGGCGGACGGGUGAGUAACGCGUGGGUAACCUACCUUGUACAGGGGGACAACAGUUGGAAACGACUGCUAAUACCGCAUAAGCGCACAGCAUCGCAUGAUGCAGUGUGAAAAGUUUUUUCGGUACAAGAUGGACCCGCGUCUGAUUAGCUAGUUGGUGAGGUAACGGCCCACCAAGGCGACGAUCAGUAGCCGACCUGAGAGGGUGACCGGCCACAUUGGGACUGAGACACGGCCCAAACUCCUACGGGAGGCAGCAGUGGGGAAUAUUGCACAAUGGGCGAAAGCCUGAUGCAGCGACGCCGCGUGAGCGAAGAAGUAUUCUCGGUAUGUAAACGCUCUCAUCAGCAGGGAAGAUAAUGA